rfam:Pseudomonas sp. 5 contig7, whole genome shotgun sequence.
UGUUAUGGCGGCUGUGCGUGGGGCGCAUUCGUGCGCGCCGGGUUCCUUGAUUCCCGGUUGACCAACCUGCGUACAGUCGCCACCCAU